ACAGGAUUAGAUACCCUGGUAGUCCACGCCGUAAACGAUGUCGACUUGGAGGCUGUUCCCCUGAGGAGUGGCUUCCGGAGCUAACGCGUUAAGUCGACCGCCUGGGGAGUACGGCCGCAAGGUUAAAACUCAAAUGAAUUGACGGGGGCCCGCACAAGCGGUGGAGCAUGUGGUUUAAUUCGAUGCAACGCGAAGAACCUUACCUACUCUUGACAUCCAGAGAACUUUCCAGAGAUGGAUUGGUGCCUUCGGGAACUUUGAGACAGGUGCUGCAUGGCUGUCGUCAGCUCGUGUUGUGAAAUGUUGGGUUAAGUCCCGCAACGAGCGCAACCCUUAUCCUUUGUUGCCAGCGAUUCGGUCGGGAACUCAAAGGAGACUGCCGGUGAUAAACCGGAGGAAGGUGGGGAUGACGUCAAGUCAUCAUGGCCCUUACGAGUAGGGCUACACACGUGCUACAAUGGCGCAUACAAAGAGAAGCGACCUCGCGAGAGCAAGCGGACCUCAUAAAGUGCGUCGUAGUCCGGAUCGGAGUCUGCAACUCGACUCCGUGAAGUCGGAAUCGCUAGUAAUCGUGGAUCAGAAUGCCACGGUGAAUACGUUCCCGGGCCUUGUACACACCGCCCGUCACACCAUGGGAGUGGGUUGCAAAAGAAGUAGGUAGCUUAACCUUCGGGAGGGCGCUUACCACUUUGUGAUUCAUGACUGGGGUGAAGUCGUAACAA
rnacentral:rRNA from 1 species